GCCGGAGUGAUGGAAUUGGUAGACAUAGCGGACUUAAAAUCCGCUGGGACUUCAAUCCCGUGCCGGUUCGAGUCCGGCCUCCGGCA
rnacentral:tRNA from 2 species